GUGGGGAAUAUUGGACAAUGGGGGGAACCCUGAUCCAGCCAUGCCGCGUGUGUGAAGAAGGCCUUUUGGUUGUAAAGCACUUUAAGCGAGGAGGAGGCUACCGAGAUUAAUACUCUUGGAUAGUGGACGUUACUCGCAGAAUAAGCACCCGCUAACUCUGUGCCAGCAGCCGCGGUAAUACAGAGGGUGCAAGCGUUAAUCGGAUUUACUGGGCGUAAAGCGCGCGUAGGUGGCCAAUUAAGUCAAAUGUGAAAUCCCCGAGCUUAACUUUGGAAGUGCAUUCGAUACUGGUUGGCUAGAGUAUGGGAGAGGAUGGUAGAAUUCCAGGUGUAGCGGUGAAAUGCGUAGAGAUCUGGAGGAAUACCGAUGGCGAAGGCAGCCAUCUGGCCUAAUACUGACACUGAGGUGCGAAAGCAUGGGGAGCAAACAGGAUUAGAUACCCCUGUAGUCC
rnacentral:rRNA from 1 species